rnacentral:lncRNA from 1 species
AUAAUGAAAAGGAGCAAGCUGAGCAGGGUAAAUUACAAAAUGAAAAUUUUGAGGAGAAAAAGAGCACCAGGAAGUGGAAGAGAGCUAAAUUCUGUGUUCCCGGGAGAUAAACAGAUUAAGAAAUGAGAAUAAAGGAAUAAAGGAUUGGUGAUCCCAGGGCAAGAUUCCACCCAGGUAAAUUUCCAGUUUUUUGAAAAGGAACUGAAGAAAAGCUUAGAGCCAGGUUUGGUGGUACAUACCCUUAAUCCCAGCACUCACAAGGCAGAGGCUGGCAGAUCUAUGAGUAUGAGGUCAGUCUGAUAUGCAUUAUGAUACAGCUGUAAAACUUUGGGGGACAGGGAAGGGACUGUGGUGGUUUAAAAGAAAAUGGCCCCCAAAGGGAGUGGCACUAUUAGGAGGUGUGGCCUGGCCUUGUUGGAGGAAGUGUGUCACUGGCGGGUUGGGCUUUGAGGUCUCUUGCUCAAGCUUCCCUCAGUGUGACUGCCAGUUGACUUCCUGUUGCCUGUAAGAUGUAGUAGCACUCUUAGCUACAGUGCCACAUCUGCCUAUAUGUAAGGGAGCCACCCCAAUGAAAUGUUUAUGAGUUUCUAUGGUCAUGGUGUCUCUUUAUAACAAUAGUAACCCUAACUAAGGCAGAGUCUAUGAAGAACAUAGAUCACUUAUGUAGGGCAUGCAGUCUAUGCUUCACACAGUCAUGUUUAAUAACUGGAAAAAAAUUAGAUGCUGUGGAAAUGGAUUAGUAUGUUAAUUGCAAUUGUGCUAAAAAUAGUUAUUUGAUUUCUUCAAGAUUGAAAAUUUCCUCAUAUGUUCAGUAUUGCCUAUCAAUAGAGUUGACAUACCUGGAUGAGUAUAUGUCUAAAUUAAAAGAAUCUUUUCAUUUUGUUUUGUAAUCAUCAACAGAACACAGGAUCAUGAGCAUAAGGUAAACACGUUUAUGGGUUGUUAUUAGAGCUUGGGACCAGGCAUGUGACUUUGGUGCACCUGCUUUCUUAUGAAGGUCACAGUGGGAUUAAAUGGGUCCACUCAAGCUUAAAGCAGUGACUUAAAGUGCCAGUGUGUUGACAGGUUCAACUUUAGUCUGUAGAAUCUGUAAGAAAAAAGUCCCCUGCCUCCUCAUUCCUGAAUAUUACUGAGUUGGCCCUGGGAUAUGGCCUUCUUGGUUUACAGCCUCCUGAAGAUAGAAUGAAUUUCCAUCCUAGUUCCUCUCACCCGGAAGUGGCCUAUUGGAAGAAGACUCUGGCCUUGGGAACCACAGAACCUUUGACCUCCAACUACCUGGAAUCUAAGCUACCACUGGAGAGACUCCGAAAGAAUGAGCCUGUUGACAAAGCCGGAACACCACUGGCACGGGCCAGCAAUCCAGAGGUGUGUGCUGUGUGCAGA